rnacentral:rRNA from 1 species
UACGAAGGGGGCUAGCGUUGCUCGGAAUCACUGGGCGUAAAGGGUGCGUAGGCGGGUCUUUAAGUCAGGGGUGAAAUCCUGGAGCUCAACUCCAGAACUGCCUUUGAUACUGAGGAUCUUGAGUUCGGGAGAGGUGAGUGGAACUGCGAGUGUAGAGGUGAAAUUCGUAGAUAUUCGGAAGAACACCAGUGGCGAAGGCGACUCGCUGGACAGACAUUGACGCUGAGGUGCGAAAGCG